GUGUCCAUGUAUUCUCAUUGUUCAAUACCCACUUAUGAUGUGAGUUGCUCUUAGACAUUUUCUUUCACUUCCACGACUUUAAAAAACACUCAUUUUGUAAUGAUCCCCAAUUUUUUAUUUCCAACUCACAUUUCUCUUCUGAGUCCUAAGUAGGAAUAUUCAUUAGCCCGUUUAUUAUUUCUCACAAUGUAUCUCUUGAACACUUCAAGCUCAGUGCUUUCAAAAUUGAAACUGUCUGCAUUUGUUCAGCCUUGUGGGUGUCUCAGUAUCAUUCAUGAUUUCUCUGUCUUCCCCACAAGUCUUCUCAAUUGUAUUUUUAAAGAAUUCUUAAGUAUCUAGCUAUUGCCACUGUUUUGUCCUCAUGAGUUCUUACCUGGAUUUCUGCCGUAGAAUCUUGGCCUUCUGUCUUUAAUUAAGGUUUCCUCUGUUCCACACAGUAUUUAUCAGAUUAUCUAAGAUAGUGAUUCUCUUGAACUUUUCAGAGUAAACUUGUAGGGUCCCAUGUCACGUGUCAGAACUACUCAUCAAUAAUUUCUGAAAGGGAGAUCUGGAUGUAUAUAGUUUGAAAAAAACUAACCAGGUGAUGUUGAUGAGGACACCUGGUUACAAACCAUUCUUUAUACAAGGUCGGGUGGCCCACACCUGUAAUCCCUGCACAUUAAGGAGGCAGAGAUGGAAGAAUUGCUUGAGCCCAGGAGUUCAAGAUCAGCCUGGGCAACAUAGGGAG